rnacentral:rRNA from 1 species
GUCCCGCCUGCCCGGUGACAUUAGUUUAACGGCCGCGGUACUCUAACCGUGCGAAGGUAGCGUAAUCACUUGUCUUUUAAAUGAAGACCUGUAUGAAUGGCAUAACGAGGGCUUAACUGUCUCCUUUUUCCAGUCAAUGAAAUUGAUCUCCCCGUGCAGAAGCGGGGAUAGUUACAUAAGACGAGAAGACCCUAUGGAGCUUUAGACACUAAGACAGACCAAGUUAAACACCCCACAAUAAAGGGCCAAACUCAUUGAUCCCCUGUCCUAAUGUCUUCGGUUGGGGCGACCAUGGGAGAACACAAAACCCCCAUGUGGAAUAGGAGGACAAUCCCAUAUUUCUCUUUCCCUUCCUCCCACAAGCAAGAGUUACAACUCUAGCUAACAGAACUUCUGACCUUAACACGAUCCGGCUUACGCCGAUCAACGGACCAAGUUACCCUAGGGAUAACAGCGCAAUCCCCUUUUAGAGGCCAUAUCGACAAGGGGGUUUACGACCUCGAUGUUGGAUCAGGACAUCCUA